ACGCUCGACACCUACGGGAGGGCAGCAGUGGGGAAUAUUGCACAAUGGAGGAAACUCUGAUGCAGCGACGCCGCGUGAGGGAAGAAGGUCUUCGGAUUGUAAACCUCUGUUGUCAGGGACGAUGAUGACGGUACCUGACGAGGAAGCCACGGCUAACUACGUGUCAGCAGCCGCGGUAAUCUGAGGCGGGCUGGACGAAGGC
rnacentral:rRNA from 1 species